rnacentral:lncRNA from 1 species
ACACAAAACAAAUCUUUAAAAAAGAAAAAAAGAAUGAAUAGAAGUUGUGGUGGAGAGGUGUAGCAAAAGCCAUGUCUUGUGCUAAGUAAAGCUCUUAAGAAUGGCAGCUUGUGGGCUGGUGAGAUGGCUCAGUGGGUAAGAGCACUGGACUGCUCUUCCAAAGGUCAGGAGUUCAAAUCCCAGCAACCACAUGGUGGCUCACAACCAUCGGUAACGAGAUCUGACUCCCUCUUCUGGAGUGUCUGGGGACAGCUACAGUGUACUUACAUAUAAUAAAUGAAUAAAUAAAUCUUAAAAAAAAAAAGAAUAGCAGCUUGUAUUCUACUUACAGAGGGAAGAUGGAAAUCAAUGGGAGACUUCUAAGAAGACCUCACCUUCCUCUAAGAAGAUGCACAAGGAGGUUACCCCUUAUCUCAAGAACAUUACUCCUGGGCAGUGGUGGCGCACGCUUUAAUCCCAGCACUGGGGAGGCAGAGGCAGGCGGAUUUCUGAGUUCCAGGCCAGUCAGGUCUACAAAGUGAGUUCCAGAACAGCCAACACUGAGAAACUUUGUCUCAAAAAAACAGAAAAAAAAAAAAAAAAAAAAAAAAACAAAAAACAAAAAAAAAAACACUUAGGUUCUGAGGAUAUAAAUUGUCAGCAAGGCCUUGGCCCCAGGCCAUGACCAGCUCUCCCAAGGACUUUCCUGGCUUUAGAAAGGGAGCUCUAUUUAAUUCUCAAUACAUUGCAGCCACAGAAAAAGCUUCCAAAGCUCCACUCCAUUAUUGGCUCUGCAAGUAUGUUCCUGGGUUUAAGAAGGAGUUAUAUCAUUCUUUAUACAUGAGAACUUUAGGGAAAGAUUUACUUGAUAAGGCUAGCCCUCCAUACAACAGUGUUUCUUCUCUCUCUCUCUCUAAUUGUUUAUUUAUUUACAUUCUAACUGUGGCCCAUGAUCUGGUUCGCCUCCCAUGGUUCUUUACCCUCCUCCCCCUUCCCUUUGCCUGUGACACCUUGCUCCAUCACGCCAUCUCCACUCUCUCAUCCACUCCUCACCUUCCUCAUUCUUCUUCCCGGGGGCAUCAAGUCUACAAGAUUAGGUGUAUAGUCUCCUAUUCGGUACAGACAAUGCAGUCCUCUGCUACAUAUGUUCCUGAGACCAUGGACCAGCCCAUGUAUUCUCUUUGGUUGAUGGCUUAGUCUCUGUGAGCUCCUAGGGGUCUAGGUUACAUGACACUAUAGGUCUUCUUAAGGGACUGGUAUACCCUACAGCUCCUUCAAUCCUUCCCCUAACUCUUCCAUAGGGUCCCUGACUGGAGUCCAUUGGUUGGCUGUAAGUAUCUGCAUCUGUCUGAGUUACUGGUAGAGCCUCUCAGAGGACAGCCAUGCUCGGCUCCUGUCUGCAAGCACAUAGGUGUUUUCCCUUCUCAAACGGAUGUCAACCAGUGUAGUGGCAGAACUAUGCUUUUCUCAAUUAGAAAAUGGGAGCUUUAGGCACACCAGGCCUUAAUGUUGGUUGUGACUCUGUUAAUGAUGGAUUGAGCAGCUUGUUACAGACCUGCUUUUUGCUUUGAGCAUGGGCCAAGUGGCUGGUUGUACAUCACAGUUGUCUCUCCUUUGUUAUAGUUUGGAGCCAGCUGUGUAGACAAACCUGGUGAGCAAACAUGUGAAUCCUAGCCUCCUAGUCUCUAACCGGCCUGCUUAGCAUACUAACCUGUGGGGUGUUUUUGACACAGUCCUCCAUCAGCUAAAUGCUACUUACUGUCACUAUUUCCUAAGCUUGGUAAACCCUUUACAUCAUCAAUUCUACUGUUCUACAUCUCAGCUUAAUAUAGGAGUACUACCCAACACAUAAGAGGCCUUUUAACAGCUCCAGAAAAUUAACUACAAAUGGAUCUUAUACUUAAUAGGUAAAUGCUGGGGGCAAAACUUAUAGAAGAUUCAUGAGAAACUAGGGCUCUCCAAGUGUGGCAUCCUGCCCGUGAUAUUUCUACAAGCAAGCCCCUAAUCCUAAUGUUUUGAGCUGAUUCAGCACUGAUACUGAUGUUAUUCAGAGUUCACCGCCUGUUUUAGCAAGUGAGGAGCAUCACAAAGGUCCGCACAAUUGGCCACAUCUGGUUACAUCUGGCUGAGGCUUC